rnacentral:rRNA from 1 species
CAGUAGCCGCGGUAAUACGUAGGUCCCGAGCGUUGUCCGGAUUUAUUGGGCGUAAAGCGAGCGCAGGCGGUUAGAUAAGUCUGAAGUUAAAGGCUGUGGCUUAACCAUAGUACGCUUUGGAAACUGUUUAACUUGAGUGCAAGAGGGGAGAGUGGAAUUCCAUGUGUAGCGGUGAAAUGCGUAGAUAUAUGGAGGAACACCGGUGGCGAAAGCGGCUCUCUGGCUUGUAACUGACGCUGAGGCUCGAAAGCGUGGGGAGCAAACAGGAUUAGAUACCCGUGUAGUCCCUGUCUCUUAUACC